rnacentral:rRNA from 1 species
UUUGAUCCUGGCUCAGGACGAACGCUGGCGGCGUGCUUAACACAUGCAAGUCGAACGAUGAACCGCUUUCGGGCGGGGAUUAGUGGCGAACGGGUGAGUAACACGUGGGCAAUCUGCCCUGCACUCUGGGACAAGCCCUGGAAACGGGGUCUAAUACCGGAUAUGACCGUCUGCCGCAUGGUGGAUGGUGUAAAGCUCCGGCGGUGCAGGAUGAGCCCGCGGCCUAUCAGCUUGUUGGUGAGGUAGUGGCUCACCAAGGCGACGACGGGUAGCCGGCCUGAGAGGGCGACCGGCCACACUGGGACUGAGACACGGCCCAGACUCCUAYGGGAGGCAGCAGUGGGGAAUAUUGCACAAUGGGCGAAAGCCUGAUGCAGCGACGCCGCGUGAGGGAUGACGGCCUUCGGGUUGUAAACCUCUUUCAGCAGGGAAGAAGCGAAAGUGACGGUACCUGCAGAAGAAGCGCCGGCUAACUACGUGCCAGCAGCCGCGGUAAUACGUAGGGCGCAAGCGUUGUCCGGAAUUAUUGGGCGUAAAGAGCUCGUAGGCGGCUUGUCACGUCGGUUGUGAAGCCCGGGGCUUAACCCCGGGUCUGCAGUCGAUACGGGCAGGCUAGAGUUCGGUAGGGGAGAUCGGAAUUCCUGGUGUAGCGGUGAAAUGCGCAGAUAUCAGGAGGAACACCGGUGGCGAAGGCGGAUCUCUGGGCCGAUACUGACGCUGAGGAGCGAAAGCGUGGGGAGCGAACAGGAUUAGAUACCCUGGUAGUCCACGCCGUAAACGGUGGGCACUAGGUGUGGGCAACAUUCCACGUUGUCCGUGCCGCAGCUAACGCAUUAAGUGCCCCGCCUGGGGAGUACGGCCGCAAGGCUAAAACUCAAAGGAAUUGACGGGGGCCCGCACAAGCGGCGGAGCAUGUGGCUUAAUUCGACGCAACGCGAAGAACCUUACCAAGGCUUGACAUACACCGGAAACGUCUGGAGACAGGCGCCCCCUUGUGGUCGGUGUACAGGUGGUGCAUGGCUGUCGUCAGCUCGUGUCGUGAGAUGUUGGGUUAAGUCCCGCAACGAGCGCAACCCUUGUCCCGUGUUGCCAGCAGGCCCUUGUGGUGCUGGGGACUCACGGGAGACCGCCGGGGUCAACUCGGAGGAAGGUGGGGACGACGUCAAGUCAUCAUGCCCCUUAUGUCUUGGGCUGCACACGUGCUACAAUGGCCCGGUACAAUGAGCUGCGAUACCGCGAGGUGG